rnacentral:rRNA from 1 species
AGCUUGCUUCUAUGACGUUAGCGGCGGACGGGUGAGUAACACGUGGGCAACCUGCCUGUAAGACUGGGAUAACUUCGGGAAACCGAAGCUAAUACCGGAUAGGAUCUUCUCCUUCAUGGGAGAUGAUUGAAAGAUGGUUUCGGCUAUCACUUACAGAUGGGCCCGCGGUGCAUUAGCUAGUUGGUGAGGUAACGGCUCACCAAGGCAACGAUGCAUAGCCGACCUGAGAGGGUGAUCGGCCACACUGGGACUGAGACACGGCCCAGACUCCUACGGGAGGCAGCAGUAGGGAAUCUUCCGCAAUGGACGAAAGUCUGACGGAGCAACGCCGCGUGAGUGAUGAAGGCUUUCGGGUCGUAAAACUCUGUUGUUAGGGAAGAACAAGUACAAGAGUAACUGCUCGUACCUUGACGGUACCUAACCAGAAAGCCACGGCUAACUACGUGC